rnacentral:rRNA from 1 species
AACAGGGAUUGCCUCAGUAACGGCGAGUGAAGCGGCAACAGCUCAAAUUUGAAAUCUGGCCUCUUUGGGGUCCGAGUUGUAAUUUGUAGAGGAUGUUUCGGGUACCGCCUCGGUUUAAAUUUCUUGGAACAGAAUGUCAAAGAGGGUGAGAAUCCCGUCUUGGACCGGCGGUAGGGCCCAUGUGAAACUCCUUCGACGAGUCGAGUUGUUUGGGAAUGCAGCUCAAAAUGGGUGGUAAAUUUCAUCUAAAGCUAAAUAUUGGCCAGAGACCGAUAGCGCACAAGUAGAGUGAUCGAAAGAUGAAAAGCACUUUGAAAAGAGAGUUAAACAGUAUGUGAAAUUGUUGAAAGGGAAGCGCUUACAACCAGACUUGCGCGCGGCGGUUCCCCCUUCCUUUUGGUUGGGCUACUCCGUCGUGUUCAGGCCAACAUCGGUUCUGGGGGUCGGUUAAAGACCCUGGGAAUGUAUCUACCCUUCGGGCGUAGACUUAUAGCUCAGGGUGUCAUGCGACCUCCCGGGACCGAGGAACGCGCUUCGGCUCGGAUGUUGGCGUAAUGGUUGUCAGCGACCCGUCUUGAAACACGGACCAAGGAGUCUAACAUCUAUGCGAGUGUUUGGGUGUCAAACCCGGAACGCGAAAUGAAAGUGAACGGAGGUAGGAAGCCAUGAGGCUGCACUAUCGACCGAUCCUGAUGUCUUCGGAUGGAUUUGAGUAAGAGCAUAGCUGUUGGGACCCGAAAGAUGGUGAACUAUGCCUGAAUAGGGUGAAGCCAGAGGAAACUCUGGUGGAGGCUCGCAGCGGUUCUGACGUGCAAAUCGAUCGUCAAAUUUGGGUAUAGGGGCGAAAGACUAAUCGAACCAUC